AUUGAACGCUGGCGGCAGGCCUAACACAUGCAAGUCGACCGAGUGGCGGACGGGUGAGUAAUGUAUGGGAAUCUGCCUGUUGGAGGGGGAUAACUACUGGAAACGGUAGCUAAUACCGCAUACCAUCAGAUGUACCCAUAUGGGAUUAGCUUGUUGGUGGGGUAAAGGCGUACCAAGGCGACGAUCCGUAGCUGGUCUGAGAGGAUGAUCAGGCACACUGGAACUGAGACACGGUCCAGACUCCUACGGUAGGCAGCAGUGGGGAAUAUUGGACAAUGGGCGAAAGCCUGAUGCAGCCAUGCCGCGUGUAUGAAGAAGGCCUUCGGGUUGUAAAGUACUUUCAGUGGGGAGGCGUUACCGGCAGAAGAAGCACCGGCUAACUCCGUGCCAGCAGCCGCGGUAAUUC
rnacentral:rRNA from 1 species